AAGAGAUCAGAGAUCAUUCCUUCAUGCAGAAUCUCUCCAGAUCCUUCAGAUUCCAGCUCCAUGUUCAACACAUUCACUAUCUGCACCAUCAUCAUUAUCCAUGGCAAGAUCUGAUCCAGUGUUGGUUCUGUUCUCUGAACUCCUGGUUCCUCUCUGACUGGUGCUGAUGAAGUUUGUUCCCACCGUCUCCAGCUCUCAGAAGCUCCUGGCAUCGAUGGACUGCCGUCAGCUCACUCAGGUUCACUGAUUCACCGAUAUUGUGCUCAAACCAAAGUGAAAAACUCUUUCAUUGUGAAGCUUUCUAAUGCUCUCACUUCUCUUGAAGAAUAUUUACUAGAUUUAAUGAUCAUCUACACUAAAUAAUAAUUCAGUAUUUUCAUUCACAACUGAUGAAAGUCAACAAUAAAGAUCCUGUUUUAUUCA